rnacentral:rRNA from 1 species
UAGGGAAUCUUCCGCAAUGGACGCAAGUCUGACGGAGCAACGCCGCGUGAGUGAAGAAGGAUUUCGGUUCGUAAAACUCUGUUGUUAGAGAAGAACAGCGCAUAGAGUAACUGUUAUGCGUGUGACGGUAUCUAACCAGAAAGCCACGGCUAACUACGUGCCAGCAGCCGCGGUAAUACGUAGGUGGCAAGCGUUGUCCGGAUUUAUUGGGCGUAAAGCGAGCGCAGGCGGUCAAUUAAGUCUGAUGUGAAAGCCCCCGGCUCAACCGGGGAGGGUCAUUGGAAACUGGUUGACUUGAGUGCAGAAGAGGGGAGUGGAAUUCCAUGUGUAGCGGUGAAAUGCGUAGAUAUAUGGAGGAACACCAGUGGCGAAGGCGACUCUCUGGUCUGUAACUGACGCUGAGGCUCGAAAGCGUGAGUAGCAAGCAGG